UGACUGGGUUGUUUCCCUGUUGUGACACUUAUGAACAGUGAUGUGAAGGCAGAAAUGUGUUUUGCUCCUUCACACUGGUUUCAGUUCCUCUCAGGGUGUACCCUGGUAUUUGCCCUGGAGAUUUCAUCCUCUAAAGCUUUGUCUUCUUGCUGAACCUCCAUUAAGAAGUAGGUCUAAUGUAAGUCCUUGGAUGUACCACCUUGGCGUGGGUGGGUGGGAGGUAAUAGGCUUCUCACAGGACUCUGGGAGUUCUAGAGCAAGUAAGUCCAUUGACCAGCCUAACUUGGUAUCCAUCUCAAGGGGAGGCUCCAACGCCUGACACUAUUACCAAUGCUAUGGUGUGCUUACAGAUAGGAGCGUAGCAUGGCUGUCUUCUGAGAGGCCUAACAAACAGCUGACUUAGACUUACACUCAACUAGUGGACGGAAGUUGGGAACCACUGUGGUUUCGAAAGAAAUUUGACCUCUAAGUCAGGACCCUCCUGCUAUAGUUUCCUGAGUGUUGG
rnacentral:lncRNA from 1 species